rnacentral:rRNA from 1 species
GACGAACGCUGGCGGCGUGCCUAAUACAUGCGAGUCGAACGAACCGCGACUAGGUGCUUGCACUUGGUCAAGGUGAGUGGCGAACGGGUGAGUAACACGUGGGUAACCUACCUCAUAGUGGGGGAUAACAGUCGGAAACGACUGCUAAUACCGCAUAGGACAUAGGAUCACAUGAUCCAGUGAGGAAAGGUGGCGCAAGCUAUCGCUAAGAGAUGGACCCGCGGUGCAUUAGCUAGUUGGUAGGGUAAAGGCCUACCAAGGCGAUGAUGCCUAGCCGACCUGAGAGGGUGAUCGGCCACAUUGGGACUGAGACACGGCCCAAACUCCUACGGGAGGCAGCAGUAGGGAAUCUUCCGCAAUGGACGCAAGUCUGACGGAGCAACGCCGCGUGAGUGAAGAAGGUCUUCGGAUCGUAAAGCUCUGUUGUUAGAGAAGAACAGCGCAUAGAGUAACUGUUAUGCGUGUGACGGUAUCUAACCAGAAAGCCACGGCUAACUACGUG